GUUGACCUCGGAUCAGGAGAAUCCA
rnacentral:rRNA from 1 species